GACGAACGCUGGCGGCGCGCCUAACACAUGCAAGUCGAACGGAGCUGAGAGAAGCUUGCUUUUCUUAGCUUGGUGGCGAACGGGUGAGUAACGCGUGAGUAACCUGCCCUGGAGUGGGGGACAACAGCUGGAAACGACUGCUAAUACCGCAUAAGCCCACGAUCCGGCAUCGGAUUGAGGGAAAAGGAUUUAUUCGCUUCAGGAUGGACUCGCGUCCAAUUAGCUAGUUGGUGAGGUAACGGCCCACCAAGGCGACGAUUGGUAGCCGGACUGAGAGGUUGGACGGCAACAUUGGAGGUGAGACACGGCCAAGAAUCCUACGGGAGGGAGCAGUGGGGGAUAGUGCAAAAGGGGGGAGACCCUGAUGGGGCGACGCCGCGUGGAGGACGAAGGUUUUCGGAUUGUAAACUCGUGAGGAUAGGGACGAUAAUGACGGUACCUAACAAGAAAGCACCGGCUAACUACGUG
rnacentral:rRNA from 1 species